CAUAACAUAAUGCUGAACAUACCAGGUCUCAUCUGAUCUCAGAAACUAAGCAUCGUGGGGCCUCAUUAGCACUUGGAUGGAGGCUCUAUUUCUAUUUAUGCAACCCUGGGAGGUGGGUACUGUUAUUA
rnacentral:rRNA from 1 species